rnacentral:lncRNA from 1 species
GAUCCCAGAGGACCGAGUUGCGGCGGAGGACCCCGGCGGGCGGCCCAGGUUCAGGACCAUGAGCUGGUGGAGAGAGACUUUGAAAGGGAGUAUGGAAAACUCCAGCAGCUGGAGGAGCAGACCAAGAGACUGCAGAAGGACAUGAAGAAGAGCACCAAUGCUGACCUGGCAAUAGUGGGGUGCUCCGGAACCUGGAGGAAGGAUUUCCAUCGC